rnacentral:lncRNA from 1 species
CAAGAUUCAAAAUUGUAGAGAAAAAAGAGAGAGAAAAUAUAUUAUUUUCUAGUAGUCCAAAAAUUCAAGAAUUAGUUUCUAGAUUAAUUGAAAGAAAGUGCCCACACGCCAGUGUAGUCUUUGCGUUGGAGAAUAUCAUAGAAGGCUUAAAGGUUUGAAGCACCAAGAUUUUUGCAAUUAAAGAAGACAAAAGUUCGCAGACCAAAAUUAAUUCAAGAUUGAUCAUUAAACCUAGGUAAAAGAUUCGAAUUCUUUAAUUUUGUUAUGACAUACAUGUGAACAUCUAGACGAUGUUACUUAUUGAAUUAAAGAAAAUUUUAAUUUCUGAUUAAUUCGGCUUCCGCAUUCCAUCAAUUGGUAUCAGAGCAAUCUAAAACGUCCAGGUGCUUGUUAUUUUUGAAUCUUAAUUGUAUGUUCUAAUCGAGCGAUGUCUAGAAAAAUUUUAUGUGUUGAUUGAAUGAUUAGAUUAUUUUAAAGUAUAAACAAAUUAUUUGUGGUCAGUCUUUGAUGUAAUUUAUUAUUUUGAGUCUGUAACAAGAUAUGUGGAUUACGACUCCAUUAUCUUGAUUUAAUUUUCUGUACAAUUAGAUUCAAAAUUUGUGAGCCUACGGGACAUAGGAAUUUAUGUAAUUCUUGUAAAUUUUUGGAUCUUGAAAGUUGAUUGGAGACUGAAGAAGAAGACUUGAAGAUGGAAUGCAAAUAAUUCAAAGAUUUGUAUUUAAAAAAAUGACGAUUUGACUGCUUGUCGAUAGCAAACACGUGCAGAUUUCGUCUUCACGUGCAAACAGAUUCUUUUGUAAAUUUGGAUUUUUUUUUUGAAAUAAUUACAAGUGCAGUGGCAGAAACUUCCUUACUAUUUUUGGAGAAGCUACUGUUGAAAAUUGAAGAUUGAAGAUUUAGAUUAAAUAUUGUGCUUGGGUCGAGUUAGUCUUUAAUUUAUUUCUUGAGUCGUUUUUGGACCACAA